AUAUUUAAAAUUAAUGAGAAAUUAAUGUACCGAACAGGCUACAUACAAUUUCAUAAAUUUUGCCUUGAAGUUAUACAAAGACAGGUUUGCAGCCCAAAGUUCCCUAAAUAUGCGUGUCAUUUCUCUUCUCAAGUGCCCAUAGAAAGGUGACUUUAACACCCUUAAAGGUGGCAACUAAUAAUGCAGAUGACGUUGAGCCACACAAUUCAAAUACUUUGAAACAAUCGAAUGACACCCCAUCAUUAAUGACAAGGUGAAGGACAGUACAAGAAGACAUACUUGUUUCGCCCCUGUUGACCCACUUCAGCGGGGAUGGGUAUAGCACCUUAUAAUCCUAUGGUUACUUAAGCAAAUGGGGUGCUAGAAAUUAAGCUAGUGAUAAGCAAGUUAGACUAAACUUUGGCCUAGACUGUACCAGCAGGGCAGCAAAGAUGAAAAGGGUAUCUUGUUUUUAUAAUUGGCCCGGCGAUUUAACAAGACUCGAUGCAUACAAGAUUCUAAAUCACAGGAAUAACCACUUUACCAAAAUAUGAGCUGGCAAAGUGUCUUAGCUAGAGUCUAGUCACUUAUAAACAAGGUUUUAAUUCUGCCUGUACAGGACACUAACAAGAUUUGCUUGCCCAGUAAAAGAAAGGUAAGGAGAUGAGAGGAGGUUUUAAUUCUGCCUGUACAGGACACUAACAAGAUUUGCUUGCCCAGUAAAAGAAAGGUAAGGAGAUGAGAGGAGGUUUUAAUUCUGCCUGUACAGGACACUAA